UUCUAAGGCUGCUAUUUUUUUAGUUGCACAGUGAGCAUGCAAACGAUGUGGAUCACACGGUGAUACAAAGGCAUUUUGUAGCCUUUUUUUUGCAACUAGGCAGGUCCCCUUAUCCAAGUUGUUUUGAUUGACUUGCCAACCAAGUAGUAUAACUGUUUCUGGGUGGCAGUUUUGUUAAUUUGACAAAUAUGUUUGUUCUUUUUCUGUUUUGCAGAGACAAAUUGGUUGGUGAAGGAGAGGUGCCUGGCAGUGAAACAAAGGGUUCUCCAAAUAGGACCUUUCGGCGGGACUCAAAACGGGGUGCUAAGCAGGAACCAUGUGGCACUGAUAAUGACGGGGAUGGAGAGGAUGAUGACGUGUCCCAGAGAGUAUCUAAAGCAUAUGAAAAAGAACUUGGGCCAGCGUGAAGGCGAGUGGAUGAUGCUUUUCGAUUUUGGUCUCUGGAAUCAACGGACUUUCCUAAUCAAGAGAUGGGACAAAAAAUUUCCUAAUACAGCCGGCUGCCGAGGAGCGCUAGCGAGCGCACGGCUGCUCGCUAGACGCGU